rnacentral:rRNA from 1 species
AAAUAUUUAAUUAUUUAUCUUAUAUAUUUAUUUAAUAAAAAUAAUUUUAAUUGGUUAGUUUUUAGUAUAUUUUAUAGAAUAAAUUUUAUUAAUUAUAGUUUAUUAGUAUUGAGAAAGAAUUUUGAAAUAUAAUUUAUUUGUUUAUAAGUAAAAUUGAUUUUUUGUACCUUGUGUAUCAGGGUUUAUUAAAUAAAUAUUAUUGAUAUUAAUUUUCCCGAAUUUAAGAGAGUUAAUUAAUAAUUUUUGUUAUUGUAAAAAAAAUAUAAAUAAUUGUUAAUUAGUAAUGAAAAGUUAUUCGUUCUUAAAUAUAUCUGGUUUAUUUAGAAAUAAAUUUAAUUUAGUUAUUUUAAUUAUAUUUGUUUAAUUUUUUAAAUAUUUAUAUUUUUAUAGUAAUAAUUAAGGGGAUAAGCUUUUAAUUAAAAUCUUAUAAUUUAAUUAUUAUUUAAUAUUAAGUAGGUUUAGAAUUAUUCAUCAAUAUUAGUAUGUUAUAAUUAAUUUUUAAAUUUAUAUUAUUUGAAUUAUUAUUUAAGGUUUUAUAAAUAAAUAUUAUUUAAUUAUUAAUUAUUAGAUAUAAUGAUAAAAUUAGUAUAAUAAAAUAUUUAAAUAAUUUAUUUAUAGAGAUUAUUUAAAGGAAUUCGGCAAAAAUUUUAUUCGCCUGUUUAACAAAAACAUGUCCUUUAGAUUAAUAAUUUAAGGUCUGACCUGCCCACUGAAAAGUUUAAAUGGCCGCAGUAAUUUGACUGUGCGAAGGUAGCAUAAUCAUUAGUUUUUUAAUUAAAAGCUUGUAUGAAUGGUUGGACGAGAUAAAAUCUGUCUUUGAUUAAAUUUUAGAAUUUAAUUUUUAAGUUAAAAAGCUUAAAUUUUUAUAAAAGACGAGAAGACCCUAUAGAUCUUUAUAGUAUUUAAUUUAUUUUUAAUUAGGAUUAUUUUAUUAUUUAAAUUUAAUAUUAUUUUAUUGGGGUAAUAUGAAGAUUAGUUAAAUUCUUUAUUAUAUUUUUUCAAUAAUUUUUGUUUAUUUGAUCCUUAAUUUAAGAUUAAAAGAUUAAGUUACCUUAGGGAUAACAGCGUAAUUUUUUUAAAGAGUUCAUAUCGAUAAAAAAGUUUGCGACCUCGAUGUUGGAUUAAAAAUAAUUCUAGGUGUAGAAGUUUAGAGUAUUGGUCUGUUCGACCAUUAUAUUUUUACAUGAUCUGAGUUCAGACCGGUGUAAGCCAGGUCGGUUUCUAUCUUUAUUUAAUUAAUAUAUUUUAGUACGAAAGGACCAAAUAUUUAUUAUAUUUAUAUUUAUUUUUUGAAUAAUAUU